UACGUAGGGCGCGAGCGUUGUCCGGAAUUAUUGGGCGUAAAGGGCUUGUAGGCGGUUGGCCGCGUCUGCCGUGAAAUCCUCUGGCUUAACUGGGGGCGUGCGGUGGGUACGGGUUGACUUGAGUGCGGUAGGGGAGACUGGAAUUCCUGGUGUAGCGGUGGAAUGCGCAGAUAUCAGGAGGAACACCGGUGGCGAAGGCGGGUCUCUGGGCCGUUACUGACGCUGAGGAGCGAAAGCGUGGGGAGCGAACAGG
rnacentral:rRNA from 2 species